rnacentral:rRNA from 1 species
AGAGUUUGAUCCUGGCUCAGAUUGAACGCUGGCGGUAUGCUUAACACAUGCAAGUCGAACGGCAGCGCGGAGAGCUUGCUCUCUGGCGGCGAGUGGCGGACGGGUGAGUAAUGCGUAGGAAUCUGCCUAGUAGUGGGGGACAACUCGGAGAAAUCCGAGCUAAUACCGCAUACGCCCUACGGGGGAAAGCGGGGGCUCUUCGGACCUCGCGCUAUUAGAUGAGCCUACGUUAGAUUAGCUAGUUGGUGGGGUAAAGGCCUACCAAGGCGACGAUCUAUAGCUGGUCUGAGAGGAUGAUCAGCCACACUGGGACUGAGACACGGCCCAGACUCCUACGGGAGGCAGCAGUGGGGAAUAUUGGACAAUGGGCGAAAGCCUGAUCCAGCAAUACCGCGUGUGUGAAGAAGGCCUGAGGGUUGUAAAGCACUUUCAAUUGGGAGGAAAAAGCAUCGGCCAAUACCCGGUGUCUUGACAUUACCUUUAGAAGAAGCACC